UCCCUCUUAGCUCAGUUGGUAGAGCGCGUCACUAGUAGCGAGCUUGGUUGCGUAAUGACGAGGUCAGUCGUUCAAAUCGGCUAGCGGGAA
rnacentral:tRNA from 1 species